UGGGGAAUAUUGGACAAUGGGCGAAAGCCUGACCCAGCAACGCCGCGUGAAGGAUGAAGUAUUUCGGUAUGUAAACUUCGAAAGAAUAGGAAGAAUAAAUGACGGUACUAUUUAUAAGGUCCGGCUAACUACGUGCCAGCAGCCGCGGUAAUACGUAGGGACCAAGCGUUGUUCGGAUUUACUGGGCGUAAAGGGCGCGUAGGCGGCAUGACAAGUCACUUGUGAAAUCUCUGGGCCUAACCCAGAACGGCCAAGUGAUACUGUCGCGCUAGAGUGCAGAAGGGGCAAUCGGAAUUCUUGGUGUAGCGGUGAAAUGCGUAGAUAUCAAGAGGAACACCUGAGGUGAAGACGGGUUGCUGGGCUGACACUGACGCUGAGGCGCGAAAGCCAGGGGGGCAAACGGGGAUUAGAUACCCCCGUAGUCCCUGAGCGGGCUGGCAAGGCGCAU
rnacentral:rRNA from 1 species